rnacentral:rRNA from 1 species
UGAGGAAUAUUGGUCAAUGGGCGGGAGCCUGAACCAGCCAAGUCGCGUGAAGGAAGAAGGAUCUAUGGUUCGUAAACUUCUUUUGCAGGGGAAUAAAGUGCAGGACGUGUCCUGUUUUGUAUGUACCCUGAGAAUAAGGAUCGGCUAACUCCGUGCCAGCAGCCGCGGUAAUACGGAGGAUCCGAGCGUUAUCCGGAUGUAUUGGGUUUAAAGGGUGCGUAGGUGGUUUGAUAAGUCAGCGGUGAAAGUUUGCAGCUUAACUGUAAAAAUGCCGUUGAAACUGUCGGACUUGAGUGUAAAUGAGGUAGGCGGAAUGCGUGGUGUAGCGGUGAAAUGCAUAGAUAUCACGCAGAACUCCGAUUGCGAAGGCAGCUUACUAAGCUACAACUGACACUGAAGCACGAAAGCGUGGGGAUCAAACA